rnacentral:tmRNA from 1 species
GGGGCUGUAUAUGGUUUCGACAGGGAUAUUGAUUUUUAAGUACGCAAGUCGGAGAAGCACGUUACGCUUAAAAUCAAUUAAAUGGAAACAAAAUUAAAAAUGCAGUUGCUUCAUUAUUCAGAAGUAAUAGUGUAGCUUUAGCCUAAUUUAAAGGAACUGUAACUUUUUUAUAUUCUUUUCUUGUGGGAAUUUAAAAAAGGUCGAUUUUAGCAAGAUAUAUUAUUAUUUAGCUUAAGAAUAAUAAUGAAUAAUUUUAAGCUUACUAAUCUAUAGGUUGUUAGUUACUUAUAUAGAUUAGGACAUAUUAUUAACUAACUAAACUUGUAGAGGCUUAUUAAAAAAUAUUUUUGGACAGGAGUUCGACUCUCCUCAGCUCCACCA